rnacentral:rRNA from 1 species
GACGGGGGGUCCAAGCGUUGUUCGGAAUCAUUGGGCGUAAAGCGUGUGCAGGUGGUUUGGAAAGUUAGAUGUGAAAGCCUCGGGCUUAACCCGAGAAGUGCAUUUAAAACUCCCAAACUUGAGUAAGGAAGAGGGUCGUGGAAUUCCAGGUGUAGUGGUGAAAUACGUAGAUAUCUGGAGGAACACCGGUGGCGAAGGCGGCGACCUGGUCCUAUACUGACACUCAUACACGAAAGCGUGGGGAUCAAACAGG